rnacentral:rRNA from 1 species
GAUGAACGCUGGCGGCGUGCCUAAUACAUGCAAGUCGAGCGAACGGACGAGAAGCUUGCUUCUCUGAUGUUAGCGGCGGACGGGUGAGUAACACGUGGAUAACCUACCUAUAAGACUGGGAUAACUUCGGGAAACCGGAGCUAAUACCGGAUAAUAUUUUGAACCGCAUGGUUCAAAAGUGAAAGACGGUCUUGCUGUCACUUAUAGAUAGAUCCGCGCUGCAUUAGCUAGUUGGUAAGGUAACGGCUUACCAAGGCAACGAUGCAUAGCCGACCUGAGAGGGUGAUCGGCCACACUGGAACUGAGACACGGUCCUGACUCCUACGGGAGGCAGCAGUAGGGAAUCUUCCGCAAUGGGCGAAAGCCUGACGGAGCAACGCCGCGUGAGUGAUGAAGGUCUUCGGAUCGUAAAACUCUGUUAUUAGGGAAGAACAUAUGUGUAAGUAACUGUGCACAUCUUGACGGUACCUAAUCAGAAAGCCACGGCUAACUACGUG